rnacentral:rRNA from 1 species
GCGUUGUCCGGAUUUAUUGGGCGUAAAGAGCGUGUAGGCGGCCAGAUAAGUCCGCUGUGAAAACUCGAAGCUCAACUUCGAGCUGUCGGUGGAAACUAUUUGGCUAGAGUCCGGAAGAGGAGAGUGGAAUUCCUGGUGUAGCGGUGAAAUGCGCAGAUAUCAGGAAGAACACCCGUGGCGAAGGCGGCUCUCUGGGACGGUACUGACGCUGAGACGCGAAAGCGUG